GAUGAACGCUAGCGGCAGGCUUAAUACAUGCAAGUCGAGGGGUAGCAAGAUUGUAGCAAUACAAUUGUUGACGACCGGCAAACGGGUGCGGAACACGUACACAACCUUCCUACAAGUGGGGAAUAGCCCAGAGAAAUUUGGAUUAAUACCCCGUAACAUAGCGAUGUGGCAUCACAUUGCUAUUAUAGCUUCGGCGCUUGUUGAUGGGUGUGCGGCUGAUUAGAUAGUUGGCGGGGUAACGGCCCACCAAGUCUACGAUCAGUAGCUGAUGUGAGAGCAUGAUCAGCAACACGGGAACUGAGACACGGGCCCGACUCCUACGGGAGGCAGCAGUAAGGAAUAUUGGACAAUGGACGCAAGUCUGAUCCAGCCAUGCCGCGUGAAGGAUUAAGGUCCUCUGGAUUGUAAACUUCUUUUAUAAGGGACGAAAAAAGGUCUUUCUAGAUCGUCUGACGGUACCUUAUGAAUAAGCACCGGCUAACUCCGUGCCAGCAGCCGCGGUAAGAC
rnacentral:rRNA from 1 species